rnacentral:rRNA from 1 species
CCUACGAGGGUCUGCAGUGGGGAAUCUUGGGCAAUGGGCGAAAGCCUGACCCAGCAACGCCGCGUUAAGGAAGAAGGCUUUCGGGUUGUAAACUUCUUUUGACAGGGAAGAGCAGAAGACGGUACCUGUCGAAUAAGCCACGGCUAACUACGUGCGAGCAGCAGCGGUAAUACGUAGGUGGCAAGCGUUGUCCGGAUUUACUGGGGUUAAAGGGCGUGUAGCCGGGCUGACAAGGCAGAUGUGAAAGGCGGGGGCUCAACCCCCGAACUGCAUUUGAAACUGUUGGUCUUGAGUAUCGGAGAGGCAGGCGGAAUUCCUAGUGUAGCGGUGAAAUGCGUAGAUAUUAGGAGGAACACCAGUGGCGAAGGCGGCCUGCUGGACGACAACUGACGGUGAGGCGCGAAAGCGUGGGGAGCAAACAGGAUUAGAUACCCCGGUAGUC